AGCAGCCGCGGUAAUUCCAGCUCCAAUAGCGUAUAUUAAAGUUGUUGCAGUUAAAAAGCUCGUAGUUGAAUUUCGGGAUCAAUUUGCUGGUCGUGCCUUCGGUACGCACUGGUAUUAUUGGUUUCUCCUUUCUGAUGAAUCGCGAUGUCAUUAAUUUGGUGUCGUGGGGAAUCAGGACUGUUACUUUGAAAAAAUUAGAGUGUUUAAAGCAGGCUCACGCUUGAAUACAUUAGCGUGGAAUAAUGAAAUAGGACGUUUGAUUCUAUUUUGUUGGUUUCUAGGAUCGACGUAAUGAUUAAUAGGGAUAGUUGGGGGCAUUAGUAUUCAAUUGUCAGAGGUGAAAUUCUUGGAUUUAUUGAAGACUAACUACUGCGAAAGCAUUUGCCAAGGAUGUUUUCAUUAAUCAAGAACGAAAGUUAGGGGAUCGAAGACGAUCAGAUACCGUCGUAGUCUUAACCAUAAACUAUGCCGA
rnacentral:rRNA from 1 species